CAGGUCUGUGAUGCCCUUAGAUGUCCGGGACCGCACGCGCGCUACACUGAUGUUGUCAGCUUGUUUCUCCCCUUGUCCGAGAGGACCGGGUAAUCCGCUGAACCACCUUCGUGAUAGGGAUCGGGGUUUGAAAUUAUCCCCCGUGAACGAGGAAUUCCCAGUAAGCGCGAGUCAUAAGCUCGUGUUGAUUACGUCCCUGCCCUUUGUAC
rnacentral:rRNA from 14 species